rnacentral:rRNA from 1 species
GGGGGGGCUGAGUAAACAACUCCUAACCCAUGUGAAACCUACCUUUGUUGCCUCGGCAGGUCUGCAACUUACCCUGAGGGUACCUACCCUGUAGGUACCUUACCCGGUAGUUGCGGGCAUAACCUGCCGGUGGUCUACUAAACUCUGUUUACUAUGUCAUUCUGAAUAAUAUAACUAAAUAAGUUAAAACUUUCAACAACGGAUCUCUUGGUUCUGGCAUCGAUGAAGAACGCAGCGAAAUGCGAUAAGUAAUGUGAAUUGCAGAAUUCAGUGAAUCAUCGAAUCUUUGAACGCACAUUGCGCCCAUUAGUAUUCUAGUGGGCAUGCCUGUUCGAGCGUCAUUUCAACCCUUAAGCCCUGUUGCUUAGCGUUGGGAGCCUACAGAUACCCUCUGUAGUUCCUUAAAGUUAGUGGCGGAGUCGGUUUCACACUCUAGACGUAGUAAAUUUUAUCUCGCCUAUAGAUGAGCCGGUCCCUUGCCGUAAAACCCCCUAAUUUCUAAAGGUUGACCUCGGAUCAGGUAGGAAUACCCGCUGAACUUAAGCAUAUCAAUAAGCGGAGGAA